rnacentral:rRNA from 1 species
CUUGCUACCUGACCUAGCGGCGGACGGGUGAGUAAUGCUUAGGAAUCUGCCUAUUAGUGGGGGACAACAUUCCGAAAGGAAUGCUAAUACCGCAUACGCCCUACGGGGGAAAGCAGGGGAUCUUCGGACCUUGCGCUAAUAGAUGAGCCUAAGUCAGAUUAGCUAGUUGGUGGGGUAAAGGCCUACCAAGGCGACGAUCUGUAGCGGGUCUGAGAGGAUGAUCCGCCACACUGGGACUGAGACACGGCCCAGACUCCUACGGGAGGCAGCAGUGGGGAAUAUUGGACAAUGGGCGAAAGCCUGAUCCAGCCAUGCCGCGUGUGUGAAGAAGGCCUUUUGGUUGUAAAGCACUUUAAGCGAGGAGGAGGCUACUUAGAUUAAUACUCUAGGAUAGUGGACGUUACUCGCAGAAUAAGCACCGGCUAACUCUGUGCCAGCAGCCGCGGUAAUACAGAGGGUGCGAGCGUUAAUCGGAUUUACUGGGCGUAAAGCGUGCGUAGGCGGCUUCUUAAGUCGGAUGUGAAAUCCCUGAGCUUAACUUAGGAAUUGCAUUCGAUACUGGGAAGCUAGAGUAUGGGAGAGGAUGGUAGAAUUCCANGUGUAGCGGUGAAAUGCGUAGAGAUCUGGANGAAUACCGAUGGCGAAGGCAGCCAUCUGGCCUAAUACUGACGCUGAGGUACGAAAGCAUGGGGAGCAAACAGGAUUAGAUACCCUGGUAGUCCAUGCCGUAAACGAUGUCUACUAGCCGUUGGGGCCUUUGAGGCUUUAGUGGCGCAGCUAACGCGAUAAGUAGACCGCCUGGGGAGUACGGUCGCAAGACUAAAACUCAAAUGAAUUGACGGGGGCCCGCACAAGCGGUGGAGCAUGUGGUUUAAUUCGAUGCAACGCGAAGAACCUUACCUGGUCUUGACAUAGUAAGAACUUUCCAGAGAUGGAUUGGUGCCUUCGGGAACUUGCAUACAGGUGCUGCAUGGCUGUCGUCAGCUCGUGUCGUGAGAUGUUGGGUUAAGUCCCGCGACGAGCGCAACCCUUUUCCUUAUUUGCCAGCGGGUUAAGCCGGGAACUUUAAGGAUACUGCCAGUGACAAACUGGAGGAAGGCGGGGACGACGUCAAGUCAUCAUGGCCCUUACGACCAGGGCUACACACGUGCUACAAUGGUCGGUACAAAGGGUUGCUACCUAGCGAUAGGAUGCUAAUCUCAAAAAGCCGAUCGUAGUCCGGAUUGGAGUCUGCAACUCGACUCCAUGAAGUCG